AGUGGGAUAGCUGGGUCAAAUGGUGGUGCUAUUCCCAGUUUUCCAAGGAAUCUCCAUACUGCUUUCCAUACUGGCUGCACCAAUUGGUAGUCCCACAAGCAAU
rnacentral:pre_miRNA from 1 species